CAGGGCAGCCGUAGUCAAUGUGAGCACGCUUGUGGAAUGGGCUCUCACUGCAAGGGAUGGAGACAGUUCCGAUAACCAAUAGAGCGUAAUGCACCCGAAUAUCCUCUGUACGAUCAUCUGCUCUUUAAUCCUUUCAGCUAUAGCGAUAAACGAUCUAGGGGGACUUCCUGAAUUCUCUUGUCCUUUACAGGUAGAAGGCCAAGGCUCUGCAGACUCCGAGAGGGAGUGAAGGUGCUACUCCUCUGUUGAUACAUGAGGCUUUGGAAAGAAAGCAGGUGCAUCAGAGAGAGACAAGAGGACAGUAGCAGCUCCAACUUGGACCAUGCGGUGGUGAGAAGGAACUGAGGGCGCAGUUGGUCUGCCCUGCCCUUUAUCGUCUCCAACAAAACCAUGAGGUGGAGCAAGGGCACGUUCCUGCACUGGAAUACAGUAGGGACCAUCACUCGCAGAACCACCAGGAAACAUACAAAUCCCCUGUGAUCACAACGUCACUCUGGGGUCCCUUCC